rnacentral:rRNA from 4 species
ACGAACGCUGGCGGCGUGCUUAACACAUGCAAGUCGAACGAUGAAGGAGAGCUUGCUCUUUGGAUUAGUGGCGAACGGGUGAGUAACACGUGAGCAAUCUGCCCUUGACUCUGGGAUAAGCGUUGGAAACGACGUCUAAUACCGGAUACGACCCUCGGAGGCAUCUCCUGGGGGUGGAAAGAAUUUUGGUCAAGGAUGAGCUCGCGGCCUAUCAGCUUGUUGGUGAGGUAAUGGCUCACCAAGGCGACGACGGGUAGCCG